rnacentral:snoRNA from 1 species
CCAGCAAUUUCAGAGGUCUUCCCCCAGGCAGUAGAGUCAGUAUUUGGUAGCUGGUGCUGCAAGAAAGCACUGGAUUGCAUCCUUGCCAUGGGACUGUACUAGUGGCAGCUGUCACUCAGUGGUAUAGAG